GUGGCAGCCGCCGCGGUAAAACCAGCACCUCAAGUGGUCAGGAGGAUUAUUGGGCCUAAAGCAUCCGUAGCCUGCUUUGUAAGUUUUCGGUUAAAUCCAUAUGCUCAACAUAUGGGCUGUCGGGAAUACUGCAUAGCUAGGGAGUAGGAGAGGUAGACGGUACUCCAUAGGAAGGGGUAAAAUCCUUUGAUCUAUGGAAGACCACCUGUGGCGAAGGCGGUCUACCAGAACACGUUCGACGGUGAGGGAUGAAAGCUGGGGGAGCAAACCGGAUUAGAUACCCGGGUAGUCCCAGCUGUAAACUAUGCAAACUCAGUGAUGCAUUGGCUUGUGGCCAGUGCAGUGCCGCAGGGAAGCCGUUAAGUUUGCCGCCUGGGAAGUACGUACGCAAGUAUGAAACUUAAAGGAAUUGGCGGGGGAGCACCACAAGGGGUGAAGCCUGCGGUUCAAUUGGAGUCAACGCCAGAAAUCUUACCUGGGGAGACAGCAGAAUGAAGGUCAAGCUGAAGACUUUACCAGACAAGCUGAGAGGUGGUGCAUGGCCGUCGUCAGCUCGUGCCGUGAGAUGUCCUGUUAAGUCAGGUAACGAGCGAGAUCCCUGCCGCUAGUUGCUACCAUUACUCUCCGGAGUAGUGGGGCGAAUUAGCGGGACCGCCGCAGUUAAUGCGGAGGAAGGAAGGGGCCACGGCAGGUCAGUAUGCCCCGAAACUCUAGGGCCACACGCGGGCUGCAAUGGUAGCGACAAUGGGUCCCGAAUCCGAAAGGAGGAGGUAAUCCUCAAAUGCUACCUCAGUUAUGACUGAGGGCUGUAACUCGCCCUCACGAAUAUGGAAUCCCUAGUAACUGCGUGUCGUUACCGCGCGGUGAAUACGUCCCUGCUCCUUGCACACACCGCCCGUC
rnacentral:rRNA from 1 species